CUGGACUGGCGCUGCACGGAA
rnacentral:miRNA from 1 species